GCGUGGGUCAGUCUCAUGUCCAGAUACUC
rnacentral:sRNA from 1 species